GCUUCUCCGUUUCGCUGACAGGUGCGUCGUCGGCUAUACUUUGACCUGCAUAUACAUUACUGUUCUGCAUUACUAUCAUAAUAGUGCUGUUAGUUUCACUUUCAUGCAACCUUAUAAAUUAAGGCAUUAAGCUGCGUUAUCUUAUCGCCCUCAGCCCCCAUCAGCUUAUGCCAUAAUAGCGUUGUCGUUGCACCUAACCUGAUGGCUUGGGUUCUUAACGCUGCAGUGAAUUCUGUCGCCUGCUGCUCAUUAUCCACCACUUGGUCGAUGCAUGCCGAUGUCGCUGCUGCUCCUGUUGCCUGUAACCUAAUGGAAGCAGGGCUGUAAUGGCAUGCUUAAAUUUCCCUGUCGACAGGCAGGGGAGUUCGUUGCAACUUUAUUGCCUGCAAUUGCAGCCGCUCAUCACAUGCCUAGUACUCCCAACAGCAAGUGACAAACUCUCCUGCUGCAGUCUGCAAAGCCUGAAGCUGGAGCUGUUCCAGUUAGCAGAGAGGAAUUAAACGGCCAAGAAAGACUGGCUCUCACUUCUUGGUAGGUGUUCUGCUCCCAACACGCUUGGCUUGACCAUUCUAGGAGAUUCUUCUCUUUUCGGCUUUCGGUGGCUGGCCGUGUUCCUCCUCAGUCCUCAUGCACGGCCAUUAGAUUCUACUGUGGUGUAGGGGCAGUGAAGGAGGCCAGCGAGGUGGGCCUGGUGAUCUCGUCGAGUGUAAGGCUGGGAAAUUGCAUGCAUGGAUGGGUGGAUUAGAUGCUUGCGCUUUACUGCAACAUGGAUGAUGUAACUUGGACGUGAAGGAAGGGACAAAUGCCUUGGGAGGAAAAAGAAACAAAACACCUCUCUAGAUUCUAGAGAUGGUACUACUAAAUAGCAUGGCAUUCCCCUAAAUCCCGUCGUCUCUUGGGUUUCUUAGUCCGUUUUCACUCUCUUAAGGCGCGAUCGAUUGUUUCCCGAGGCGUCUGAUUGCUUCUUGCAUUGCUUCAACGUUGGU
rnacentral:lncRNA from 1 species